rnacentral:sRNA from 1 species
GCUUUACAUAUGGUCCUUCAUUUCCUGCAUUUAAAGUUCCCGAUGAAGAUGCCAGUCUGAUCCCUCCAGAAAUGGAUAAUGAGUGUGUUGCACAGACAUGGUUUCGCUUUUUACACAUGUUAAGUAAUCCUGUGGAUUUGAGUAACCCAGCUAUUAUAAGCUCUACUCCCAAAUUUCAGGAACAGUUCUUGAAUGUGAGCGGAAUGCCGCAAGAAUUGAAUCAAUAUCCCUGCCUUAAACAUCUGCCUCAAAUAUUUUUUCGUGCCAUGCGUGGAAUCAGCUGUCUGGUGGAUGCAUUCUUAGGUAUUUCUAGACCCCGAUCAGACAGUGCUCCCCCAACACCCGUGAAUAGAUUAAGUAUGCCUCAAAGUGCUGCUGUCAGUACCACCCCCCCACAUAACCGGAGGCACCGGGCUGUUACUGUGAAUAAGGCCACCAUGAAGACAAGCACAGUUAGUACUGCUCAUGCCUCUAAAGUUCAGCACCAGACGUCCUCCACCUCUCCUCUGUCAAGUCCAAAUCAGACUAGUUCAGAACCCCGGCCACUGCCUGCCCCUCGGAGACCAAAGGUUAACAGCAUCUUGAAUCUCUUUGGAUCAUGGUUAUUUGAUGCAGCAUUUGUUCACUGUAAACUUCAUAAUGGGAUAAACAGAGACAGCAGCAUGACUGCCAUUACAACACAAGCUAGCAUGGAGUUUCGACGGAAAGGGUCACAAAUGUCCACAGACACCAUGGUUUCCAAUCCUAUGUUUGAUGCAAGUGAAUUUCCUGAUAACUAUGAAGCAGGAAGAGCUGAGGCUUGUGGGACACUGUGUAGGAUUUUUUGUAGCAAGAAGACUGGAGAAGAGAUUCUGCCAGCUUAUUUAUCCAGAUUUUACAUGCUUUUAAUUCAAGGUUUGCAGAUAAAUGAUUAUGUGUGCCAUCCUGUCUUGGCCAGCGUUAUUCUAAACUCUCCUCCUUUGUUCUGCUGUGACUUGAAAGGGAUUGAUGUUGUGGUUCCUUACUUUAUUUCAGCUCUUGAAACCAUUUUGCCUGACAGAGAACUCUCAAAAUUCAAAAGCUAUGUAAAUCCAACAGAAUUGCGAAGAUCCUCCAUUAAUAUCCUGCUUUCUUUGUUGCCCCUCCCUCAUCAUUUUGGCACAGUCAAAUCUGAGGUGGUCCUGGAAGGAAAGUUUAGUAACGAUGACAGCUCUUCUUAUGAUAAACCAAUAACUUUUCUGUCCCUGAAGUUGAGACUUGUGAAUAUAUUAAUAGGUGCCUUGCAAACUGAAACGGACCCCAACAACACCCAAAUGAUAUUAGGGGCAAUGUUAAAUAUUGUUCAAGAUUCAGCACUUUUGGAAGCCAUUGGUUGCCAGAUGGAGAUGGGUGGUGGAGAAAAUAACCUGAAGAGUCAUAGUCGCACCAAUAGUGGUAUUAGUUCAGCAAGUGGUGGAAGCACGGAGCCCACGACUCCCGAUAGUGAGAGACCUGCUCAAGCUCUCUUAAGAGAUUAUGCUCUUAAUACAGAUUCAGCUGCUGGGCUCCUGAUUCGCAGCAUUCAUCUCGUCACCCAAAGACUCAACUCCCAGUGGCGCCAAGACAUGAGCAUAUCACUGGCAGCUCUAGAGCUCCUCUCUGGCCUUGCAAAGGUAAAAGUGAUGGUUGACUCAGGAGACCGGAAGCGAGCCAUCAGUUCUGUGUGCACCUACAUUGUGUAUCAGUGUAGUCGGCCAGCUCCUUUACACUCCAGGGAUCUGCACUCCAUGAUAGUGGCAGCUUUUCAGUGUCUCUGUGUCUGGCUGACAGAGCACCCUGAUAUGCUUGAUGAAAAGGACUGCCUUAAGGAAGUACUGGAGAUUGUGGAACUGGGUAUCUCAGGAAGUAAGUCCAAGAACAAUGAGCAAGAGGUCAAGUACAAAGGAGAUAAGGAGCCAAACCCUGCAUCUAUGAGGGUAAAGGAUGCUGCUGAAGCCACCCUAACAUGCAUUAUGCAGUUGCUCGGCGCAUUUCCUUCACCUAGUGGUCCUGCCUCUCCUUGUAGUCUUGUGAAUGAGACCACUUUGAUUAAAUACUCCAGGCUGCCAACCAUAAACAAGCAUAGUUUCCGGUACUUUGUCUUGGAUAACAGUGUCAUCCUGGCAAUGCUGGAACAACCUCUUGGAAAUGAGCAGAGUAAGUUUAUAGUACUUUGAGCCUUCUCUACUGCUUAAUCAGUGUUACCAGUACCAUGAAGCUGUUUCCAGGAUCAGGGAAGGACAGCCUACAGAUUCUAAGUAGGUCAGAAAGAUUUCUAGCUGUGGGACAAUAGCACCUGAAAAAUAGGGGGGCAAAAAAAUAGAAUAUACGUAUUACAUAGAGUCUUUUAAAGGCUCUUGAUGUGCAUCUGAACUAGCUCUGUAGUUUUAUAAAAGGUGGUGUUUUAGUGGGUUCCAUUGUGUUGUUUAUCUUUGUCACUUUUUCUUCCCCCUUGAACUUCGGAUCCUGCCCCUCUGCUCCCCUCCCUCUCACUCCUCAUGUUCUGUAUCAAUUGUUGGUGCUACCUACACAGGCUAGAAACUUGAGGAGUUAUCUUUACCUGCCCCUUCCUGUUACUCACUUAUAUAAUUAGUUUCUAAGUUUCCAUCUUCCCAGGGACCCUUGAAUUUUUCCUUUCCUCUGUAUUUUUCCAAUACAUCCAAGUGCAGGUCCUUAUUAUUUCUCACCUAGAUUAUUACAGCUGUUUCCUACCUACUCUGAUUCCCUCAACCCCUAAACCCCUUGCCAGUUCUAACAUGUGUUUUCCCUACUUUCAUCCUACUUGCUGCCACCAUAGUAUUCAUCUUCAACCACAAAUGACCAUGCCAGUGCCCUACUGAAAAUCCUUCAGUGAUUUUCCAUUAACACAACAUGCACUGUUUUCCUCCUUUCCCUCCCCCUCAGUUAUAAGCCAUCUCACAAUAUGUGAUUAUCACUGCGACCCAAACUAUCCACAAGUACAUUUUUUUUUCUGAUGGUAAUUGGCAUCAGCCAGUAUGUAAAAGAAGCAUGUUCUCAGACCCUUAUUGCUGGGAAGGGGAAGGAAAGUGAAGGUUACAGAAUCUGUGGGUAUAAAGUGACCCAUGGAGUCACCUGGUAUACAAUUCCCUUAGUUAUGAGUGAAAAAACUCAGGCUCACAGAGGGUAUAUGACUUGCCCAGGGUUACUUGGGACUAGAGCCCAGAUUUUCUAAACCCUGUAUUGUCCCUUUCUAUUAUUAUUGUCGCACAGUGAUAGGAUUUGCUCAGUGAUUAAAGAUUUGCCUUCUUGCCUUUGUAAAGGUGAAGAGUUCUGUGCCAGUUUUGUUGAUUAUAUGAGUAAGAGCUCAUAAAUCCAUGAAGUGAAAGUGAGACAUUUCCCUGCAGUUUGAGAUGAAAAGAAUACCAUCAUAAACUUCUGUUGUGUUGUGGUGAGAUGCGGUGACAUUAAUGUGAAAUGGAAUGGUGCCUUUUAUUAUUGUCUAACUUCAGAAGUGCUACUCCCAAGUCUUUUCUACAGGCAUCUCAUCCUUCUCUACCCUAGACAUGGAGCUUGCUUGGCUUUCUUUCCUAGCCUGUGCCUGUUCAUGAUUCCUCCAGCCUCCUACUCCAAGCCAUCUGCUGAGGAGUCUGCAAAAUCCCAGUGUCCCCUUCAGGCUUCCUGGCCUUUUUCCAGCUUUUUAAAGACUCUCCUACUUUCAUUCCAAAUAAUUUCAUUGCAUAGGAAGUGUACCAAAAAUACAAGCAAUUGGAAUUGUAUAGAUUUACAAGGACAUUUUAAUAGUUUAUUGUAAUAAUAAGAAAUUAUAGAGAAGUUUGAAGGCGUUUGACUCCCAUAUCUGAGACGGAAGAAU